UACAGAGGUCUCGAGCGUUGUUCGGAUUCAUUGGGCGUAAAGGGUGCGUAGGCUGCGAAGUAAGUCUGAUGUGAAAUCCCCGGGCUCAACCCGGGAACUGCAUUGGAUACUGCUUUGCUAGAGUACUGGAGAGGAGACUGGAAUUUACGGUGUAGCAGUGAAAUGCGUAGAGAUCGUAAGGAAGACCAGUGGCGAAGGCGAGUCUCUGGACAGUUACUGACGCUGAGGCACGAAGGCCAGGGGAGCAAACGGG
rnacentral:rRNA from 1 species